UUCCAUGCUGACGCCGCCAUCAUGGAAUCCUACGCUCAGUGGCAGCGUCCUAAUCGGCCACCGAGAGGGCGCCGCCAUCUUGCCGGUGGAUUCUGGCGCCAGCAGCUGGAUGUCAUUCUUUCCUCUUAACAUGAGUCCUGACUGCAGAUCCCCCUGGGCAGGCUGGGCAUAGGAACUGGAGGCGGCUUGGACAAGUGUCUGAAAGAGUUCCGGGUACCUUCAGCCGCCGCCGCCUUGGCAGGAUGCCUCAAGACACAGCGACCAGUGAGUGAGGAGUGCUUCCUGGAGCGGCGUCCUGGUUGCCCCGGGCUACCCACUGCGCGCG